rnacentral:rRNA from 1 species
UUCGAUUUUGGAGGGCAAGUCUGGUGCCCAGCAGCCGCGGUAAUUCCAGCUCCAAUAGCGUAUAUUAAAGUUGUUGCAGUUAAAAAGCUCGUAGUUGAAUUUCGGGAUUGACGUGAUGGUCGUGCCUUAAGGGGUAUGAACUGUCGCAGUUGAUUUCUCACCUUCUGGAGAAGCACGAUGUCCUUAAUUGGGUGUCAUGUGGAACCAGGACCUUUACCUUGAAAAAAUUAGAGUGUUUAAAGCAGGCAUUUUGCUCGAAUACAUUAGCAUGGAAUAAUAGAAUAGGACGGCAUGGUUCUAUUUUGUUGGUUUCUAGGAUCACCGUAAUGAUUAAUAGGGAUAGUUGGGGGCAUUAGUAUUCAAUUGUCAGAGGUGAAAUUCUUGGAUUUAUUGAAGACUAACUACUGCGAAAGCAUUUGCCAAGGAUGUUUUCAUUAAUCAAGAACGAAAGUUAGGGGAUCGAAGACGAUCAGAUACCGUCGUAGUCUUAACCAUAAACUAUGCCGACUAGGGAUCGGAUGAUGUUAAUUUUUUAAUGACUCGUUCGGCGCCUUACGGGAAACAAUCACUAGUGA